rnacentral:rRNA from 1 species
AGAGUUGAUCCUGGCUUAGGAUGAACGCUAGCGACAGGCUAACACAUGCAAGUCGAGGGGCAGCACGGGAGUAGCAAUACAACUGGUGGCGACCGGCGCACGGGUGAGUAACGCGUAUGCAACCUACCUAUCAGAGGGGAAUAACCCGGCGAAAGUCGGACUAAUACCGCAUAAAACAGGGGCACCGCAUGGUGAUAUUUGUUAAAGAGAUUCGCUGAUAGAUGGGCAUGCGUUCCAUUAGGUAGUUGGUGAGGUAACGGCUCACCAAGCCGACGAUGGAUAGGGGAACUGAGAGGUUGGUCCCCCACACUGGUACUGAGACACGGACCAGACUCCUACGGGAGGCAGCAGUGAGGAAUAUUGGUCAAUGGGCGGGAGCCUGAACCAGCCAAGUCGCGUGAAGGAAGAAGGAUCUAUGGUUCGUAAACUUCUUUUGCAGGGGAAUAAAGUGCAGGACGUGUCCUGUUUUGUAUGUACCCUGAGAAUAAGGAUCGGCUAACUCCGUGCCAGCAGCCGC